GAACAAGCGGCCGCCCAAGCUGGGCCAGAUCGGCCGGAGCAAGCGGGGUGAUUGUUAUUGAAGAUGAUAGGAUUGAUGACGUGCUGAAAAAUAUGACCGACAAGGCACCUCCUGGUGUCUAACUCCCCCAAAGACAAUGAGUUAAGGGAGAGAAUAAGAACGGCGGUAACAGUUAUUGGCAAAAAGCAUGAAAAGAGAAAGCACUUUGAAAUUUAUUACUAGCUUGCUACCCACGAUGAAAUCAACAACCUGUAUCUGGUAUCAGGCCGGGAGACAGAUGAGGCGAGAGGAGGAGGAGGAGGAGGAGAAGGCUCUGGGCUCCUCUGCAAAAAUAAAAAUAAAAAAAUAAAUAAAAUUUUAAAAAUAAUAAAAAUUCACUAUAUACACAUAUAAAGAAAUAAAAAGAAGUCUCAGUUGCAGCUAUUUGUCAAAAUUAAUAUCCAUUUCUUUUUAUAUACGGUGAAUAUUGCGCAAUUAUAGAUCUGGAUUUUGAACCACUUAAUGAAGCGGCAACACCAGGUGUUUUGAGGUGUUGGCAUUCUUCGCUGAUUUGGCUGUUCCCAAUGUUUACAUUAUUUAAUCUUGCAAAAAUGGUUCUGUGCACUUGGAUGUGAAAUGCUGUCCAGUUUUAUUUUUUUUAUGUUGUUAUCCUUGGAUGUACAAAAAAUUCAGAAAAUGAUCUCUGUAGAUAUUCUGUUUUAUUUUGGUCAUCUUUAGAAGUUAUCAGGAAUGUGUUUAAAACAAGAAGAGAACUUUUCU
rnacentral:lncRNA from 1 species